UACAGAGGUCCCAAGCGUUGUUCGGAUUCAUUGGGCGUAAAGGGCGCGUAGGCGGUCAGCACAAGUCAGUUGUGAAAUCUCCGGGCUUAACUCGGAAAGGUCAACUGAUACUGUGCGACUAGAGUGCGGAAGGGGCAACUGGAAUUCUCGGUGUAGCGGUGAAAUGCGUAGAUAUCGAGAGGAACACCUGCGGCGAAGGCGGGUUGCUGGGCCGACACUGACGCUGAUGCGCGAAAGCCAGGGGAGCGAACGGGG
rnacentral:rRNA from 1 species